AUGAGAGUAUACUACAUCUCGGCCUCCUCGUCUCUCUCUCUCCAGGAGGAGGACGACGGACGACCAAAUCCCACACAUCUCUUCCCCUCUUCUCCAUCCACCCGAGCUUUUCUCCGAGAAAAUCGACGGAAGAUAUCCCGAUUUCUGGCGCCGUGCUACGAUAGUUCUUGGGGAGGAGAGAGCUCGAAUCUUGUCGAUCUUGGUCCGAUGGGUGACGCGUCGACGAUUCAACGGCCACCCGGCACUGUCGCCAAGGGCAAUCAAGUUGGAGAGUUGGUGUCGGCUGGAUGGACAAACGACAGCCACGACAUGUACAUAAGCUCCAUGGAGGCGUCCUUCGUGCAGCAACUCCGUAUACGUAGUAGCCGACAGUUACAGCACUACCACGCUCACGCUCCUGGUAGGAGCAUCACCCAUGUGGGCGGCCAUGGGCUCAAAGCCCUCCAAGAGGGAGCCUCAGACGAGCUCAGGUCUGAGACGAACGUUUCUCGCUUGCGUGAUGUAGGCGUAAGAGGACUGCCCGAGGAUCCAUGGGCAAGGCGUUUCAGGCCACACAAAGAUUAUUCCGGUGUGAACCGUCGUGGUGAUGUGGUGUGUGCUUCGGCCGAUGACGGUGAAUCGGGUACUGAUACGGUUCACAAGACUUAUCGGACAUAUGGAAGAGAAGUGGGCAUUUUUGCUGGCGAAAAUCUUGUUGGGAAAAGCUCAGAAGCCUCUGGUCAGAAUUUUCCUGAAGAAGAGGUUCACUCCAUUGCUCAGCCAACCAAAUCAUGCAAGAAAAGGAGGACUGCCCCUUCCACCGCUGCAGGUUCUUUCACGUCGAUGCUCGAAUGCAGCGACGAGCGGUGGUGA
rnacentral:rRNA from 1 species